CAGCUCUCUCCCUGCAGAAUCUUCUUCCUAUUUGUGAAACAUAUAACUUUGCCAUGUUAAUUUACUCUAAAUUUGGUGAAUUUUCUUCUUUUUUGUAGCUGUUGUUUCUGAAGCCGAAAACUCAUCUCAGGAUGCCUUCCAACUUAGCAAAUUGGGAGGAAAGGAUGAAAAAAAUCGUCAACUUCAAAAACACUCAACAGGCUCCCAGGAAGGUCCUGUGAACAAUCCCAGUACCAGUGACAGCAGGCAGGAUGCGCUCCACAAAGCCCCAAAGAAGAAGAGCAUCAAGUCCUCCAUUGGUCGUUUGUUUGGCAAAAAGAAAAAGGGUCCGCCUGGACAAACUGGCAAAGAAUCACCAAGACAAGGUGGGCCGGUUUUAGGCAGCUGUGCUAACUGCUGGGAUUUGGAGAGCAUGAGCUUUUUCCUAUGUACCUGCCACAGGUGUCCAGUGCCCACAAGGAAUCAUGGCUGAGCAUUCUCCAGACAGCCCAGUGUGCCCACAUGUGAACCAGAGCAGAGCAGUGGACAUUCAUUUGGCGUGAAUGAAUAACCCUCUUAUAUGCUAAUUUAUACGCUUGAACAUUUAUAUGUGUUUGCUCGGAAGCUUACACUUCAGAAAUGAUUCAGCUCUCUACCUGCAGAAUCUUCUUCCUAUUUGUGAAACAUAUAACUUUGCCAUGUUAAUUUACUCUAAAUUUGGUGAAUUUUCUUCUUUUUUGUAGCUGUUGUUUCUGAAACAGAAAACUCAUCUCAGGAUGCCUUCCAACUUAGCAAAUUGGGAGGAAAGGAUGAAAAAAAUCAUCAACUUCAAAAACAGUAAA